CCUACGGGAGGCAGCAGUGGGGAAUUUUGGACAAUGGGCGAAAGCCUGAUCCAGCAAUGCCGCGUGAGUGAAGAAGGCCUUCGGGUUGUAAAGCUCUUUUGUCAGGGAAGAAACGGUGAGGGCUAAUAUCUCUUGCUAAUGACGGUACCUGAAGAAUAAGCACCGGCUAACUACGUGCCAGCAGCCGCGGUAAUACGUAGGGUGCAAGCGUUAAUCGGAAUUACUGGGCGUAAAGCGUGCGCAGGCGGUUUUGUAAGUCUGUCGUGAAAUCCCCGGGCUCAACCUGGGAAUUGCGAUGGAGACUGCAAGGCUAGAAUCUGGCAGAGGGGGGUAGAAUUCCACGUGUAGCAGUGAAAUGCGUAGAGAUGUGGAGGAACACCGAUGGCGAAGGCAGCCCCCUGGGUCAAGAUUGACGCUCAUGCACGAAAGCGUGGGGAGCAAACAGGAUUAGAUACCCUGGUAGUCCACGCCCUAAACGAUGUCUACUAGUUGUCGGGUUUUAAUUAACUUGGUAACGCAGCUAACGCGUGAAGUAGACCGCCUGGGGAGUACGGUCGCAAGAUUAAAACUCAAAUGAAUUGACGGCUGAGAGAGCGAGACGACGACGAGGGAGGAGG
rnacentral:rRNA from 1 species